CUGGUUCUCUCUCUCUCUCUCUCUCUCUCUCUCAUGAGCAAUAAAAUCUUAAAAAAAAAAGAGAGAGAGAGAGAAAGAAACAGAUGAGUCAUUUAGAUGUAAAUCUGGAGAGUAAGGUAGGCUAUCAGAUUAAUCAUUUGGGUUAGGGGCACCUGGCUGGCUCAGUCUGAAGAGCAUACAACUCUUGAUCUCAGGGUUGGGAGUUCAAGUAUCACGUUGGGUGUAGAGACUGCUUAAAUAAAUAAAACUUAAAAAUAAAUAAAUAAAAUAAGCUGAGUUAAAAGAGGUUAAAGGUGGAGGUAGAUGGUAGAGUUGAAAUCAUGGGGAAAAAGAAAACAAAUUGGUUUCUUUGUUUAUAAACUACCUUCCUCCACUCCUUUCUGUCAAGCACUAGGGAUGAAAGUGGUUCUGUUUUUUAAUUAUCUCACUGUAGGUUGAGUUCCAGAAAAGUGAGCACAGUGUCACUGAGCUCCAUACCCAUUUUUCCAUGACAUCUACUUUAAAGAACAGUACGUGGGGGCCCUGACCAUUUCAGUUGGUGGAGAGUGUGACUCUUGAUCUUGGGGUGGUGAGUUUGAGCCCCACGCUGGGUGUGGAGCCUACUUAGAAAAUAAAUAUAGAACAGGACAUGUUCAUCAGGGGCACCUUUAGAUGAAGCUAUUGGAGCUUAAGCUUCAGACACUUUACUUAUAAGUGGUCCACUCCAAGUUUCUGUGAAGACCCUAGCAAUUUUGCGUUUAUAAUUUGAUAUUCUUUAUCUUAAAGAGGAACCUCCAGAGCUAUAGAAGCUUCAGGCCCUACAGAUCUCUUCUAGUGAUGGUACAUGAACACCGAAACGUUUGUGCAUGGAGACCACCAUGGCAUCUCUGUGGCCCUACUUUAUCCCAAAUGUGUCACUGAGGACAAUGCUUUUGGAAACCCAGGAAUUCACCUGGAUACCAGGAGUUUGAAGUAAAGAACACAAAGAUUCUGACAAGACAUGAUGACUGAGACCAUUUCUUCAGUUCCCAGUGUGAGAACAGAACCUUAGCUUCUUUCUCCUCAUUACCCACCAAGUAUUACUGAGUCUACCUCCCAAACAUUUGGCAGCACUGAUUCCUCUUCAUCCUCACAGCUACCAUCUGCAUUCGGGAUUUUAUUCUCCUCUGCAUCCCUGUCAUCCCAGCCUGCAUGCAAGGCCUCUGUGUAAGGUGUGCCGUCUACUUCGGGGGGACAUGGGGAUGAUGCAAGUGGUGCCUCCUUGGAGUCCUUUUGGCUCCAGUGUCCCAAUGACUGGGAAUCUGGGAAUCGAAAACUCAAGUAUUUGAGGCUUUUUUUUUGUGUAGUUAAGUAUCCCAAGGAAUCUAGGAGCGAGAGUUUAUAAAAGCGGGCUUAAUUUAAUUCUGCAGCAUGUAUGCAUUUUUACUCAGAAGCCUUAACUCUUGUCAAGUAUAAUUCACUUUCUUGUGGCUUUAAAUUUUACCCGACUCUGAAAUAGGGUGGCUUUUAUGGUAAGAAUUGCUUUCCUCCUGAGCUAGAAGCAUAACCAUGCAUAGGACAGUAAGAGUAAGUUAAAUGAGAAUGAUUACUAAAUGCAGCCUCAAAGAGAAGAUAGAUAAUAGCACUUUGCAUUCAUACCAGCCUGCCUUUCAUCUGAGUAUCUCAAAGGAAGGCAAAAUGUAGCUGAUACUGUGUUAUGGUUGAAAAUUACAAUUGUGCAAUUUUCUUAUUCCUGAGUGUUUCCCUUCUCAAACAUGAUACUGAGUUAAAACGUAUCUAGAAUUCAAUGUAUAUUGAUUCUGAACACAGGUUUCUCUUUCUGCCCCUCAAACAUCAACGCUGAGUUGCAAAGGCAUCAAUGGACCACCUGCCUUUGUGGUUUUGAAGCAUUUGCUACCAUUGGAGAAAAACAUAAUAAGGGAUGGGCAGACAUCUUUCUGAGCUGUUCUAAAGUUUUUGAGGGAAGACUUCAACUACUUCCAUUUUGACCUCAGUUUGUACUUUCUAAUUGAUCGAGUUCUUUCCAGCUUAUCUCUUAACUCAGCCACGACCUAGCAGGUGAAGCAUUCUGUGAUGGGACCUGAAACCACCCCCUCAGGCAGUAAGGAGUGCUGGGAGCCAGCAAGACCUCACCUGACUACCUCAAGACCCUGAUCGGCCUGACCUUCACUGCCCAGCUGCAUGGACCCCCACCAACCUCUGUCCUGCAUUUUCCUUACAUAAACCUAGAAGUAUUUUCAACACUUUGGGGCCAGUCUUUGAGACAUUAGUCCACUGUCUUCCUGGUGCUAGCCUCUGAAAUUCCUUUCUUGCUUCAUCACCACUCAGCUCUCUGCCUUUGGAAUUUGUCAGCAGUGAGUGGUAAAACCUGGUCUGCUUGGGACCCCCAGAGCCAGGUGUUCCUGUGCCCUGGGACUCCUGUUAACUUUUGGUGGAAAAAUUAGAGGUGAAGAUGGAAAGAGAAUAUUUUCUAUGUCCCCCAAAUAGAUUAAAUCAUGGUGCUAACACUUCAAGAAUGCAUCAGAGAGGGGCACCUGGGUGGCUCAGUGGUUGAGCUUCUGCCU